rnacentral:lncRNA from 12 species
UUCCUGUGCUGCAGAGAUUAGAAAGCAAAGAAAUAUAGCCCGUGAAUUCACAGCAGCUGAAUUCUCACACAGCUAUGUGUGAUUUAGAUUUCUAUCAGCAGAUGUAUUCAUAAGAGAUCUGAAUUGAAAACUGAAUUAAAAUAAGGAAGAGACAAGAAAGGUCAGAGAAAAAAAAAGAGACCGACAGAGAUAAAGAAAAGGAUACGAGAGCUGAAAUUCCCGGUCCUGUGGCUCACGUCCCGCGAGAAAGAGCGAGCCGCCCGCCGCCUGGGCGCGCCCGUCCCCGCAGCAGGCGCAGGAGCCCGUGCCCUGUCGCUCCGCGCAGCCGGGCUGUGGGGCCCAGGGCCGCCCCGGCGCGCAGACCACUGGCCCGUGAUGCAAGGACGCAGGAGUACCAGAAACCACACAUGCCUCACAUAUUAAUGACCGUGGAAAUGAAAUGGCCAUAGAAUAUCUGCUUUACUCCUUCAGAAGUCAUAUGCAUAUGUUACUUCUCCACAAGCCUUGGUAAGCUUUUUAAACAUCUUAUUUUCCACUUCUAGACAAAGGAUAUAGGAUUGGGUUAUUUGAUUUUGAUUCUAAAAAAAAUCUCAUCUGACCAAGCUACUCUCUUGCGUAUACAGAAAACAGGUCAAUAAUUUGCUCACAUCCUCAACAGUUGCUGAGUUUUUAGAUCACAUGUUCUAGAUAUAGAUAAGCAUAUUUAUUAUACUAUGCUAAAGUUCAAAAAAGGAAAAACAACUGUCAUGCCUCAGUUAAGGAAAAACUUCCAGGCUAUUUGAUGGGCAUAUUAUUUGUUAUAUUUUUAUUUUCAAAAGGAGUUUGGAAUAAGAUAACUACCAAGAAGUGCAUGUUUAAAUAUACAUACUACCAAGUACUUAUUAAUCCAUUUAAUAAUCUAUUUUUAAUGGAAAAUACAUUAAUUUUUAGCAGAAGUUCUUAUAUUGGAUCCAAGAGAACCACUCAAAGUAAAUUGUACAAUAUAUAGAUGUAUUACAAAACAAUCUUUCUAGCACAAAUUUUUCUCAUAUAUAGUAUUUCUUUAUAAAUCUCUUGUUUGCACAUAAAUAAUUUAAGUGUGAUCAAGCUACUAUGCAAUAGUUCUUACCAUUCUUAUCAAAAGAUCAACUGAUGAUUAACUGAGGGAAUAUAUUUUAAAGGUGUUUUAUAAAAACUGUAUUCUUAAAAAUAACACAGAUUGCUAUUUUUGAGCAGUUUCUAUCUACCGAGUAUUGUAAUAGAUUAUGAUAUUUACAAUAACCUUUCAAAGUAAUAGUUUCUCCAUUUUAAAGAGUCUUAAAUUGUAGCUCAAAGAAUUUAACAUGAUUGGUCAGACUAUAGAGGUUUUUUUCUUACUGUGUAUAGCUUUUUGAGUAACAGUAAAGAAUCUAGCAUUUACAAGCAUGGUUACCAUAAUGAAAAAGCGACUCAAAAAUAAAAAGACUUCAUAAUAUUUAGGGUGUGUUAUG